GGAAUGUAAGUGACAGCUUGAAACUACCACUGUUGCAUUGGUGAUCUGUAUAUUAAAUGAGCCAGUCAUCACUAUUGUAGAGAUGGCUAAUUAAUUCAAUAAGAAUUAGAUGGAGGAUUCAGGAGAGUUUCUUGGACAAAAGAUAAAACAAUGCUUGGCUCCAAACUAAAUAAGUCUCAUUUCAUUCUAAAAUACUUUUGGAAGAGAGGCCCAAGUCGAGGCUCAGAAAAGUGUGUUUAUAUAGAGUAAAACAAGACUUGAGGUCUCCAGAAGCAAUUGGUGCUCUAUGAGGUUUAGGUCCUCCAUAGUGAGCAUACAGCUUCUCAGAAAUUCACAUAUCCAAUUGCUGGCUGGGUGCGGUGGCUCAUGUCUGUAAUCCCAACACUUUGGGAGGCCGAGGCAGGUGGAUCACUUGAGGUCAGGAGUUCAAGACCAGCCUGGCCAACAUGGUGAAACCCUGUAUCUACUAAAAAUACAAAAAUUAGCCAGGUGUGAUGGCCAGCAGCUUUAAUCCAAGCUACUCAGGAGGCUGAGGCAGGAUAAUUGCUUGAACCCAGGAGGUGGAGGUUCCA
rnacentral:lncRNA from 1 species